CACAAAUAGAAAAAUGGGUACGACUGGAAAAAAAAUCCCCGCGGAAUUUCGACACCCCUUUUAUCUUAUCCUCCUAAUUGAAGGCUUCUGCGUUCAAUGGUUAAGGUCCCAUGCGUGAGAAAAGCCCCGUUUUCAUGUUAUGGGGCCCCAAAGUUGGGGCUCGGAAUCGCGUUUUUUACGAUUUUCUGCGGGGCUUUUAGAGAUGGUGGGAUGCUUUGGACGAUUAUAGACUUAUACAGUAUUGUCAUUCCGAAUCGAAUGCAAUCAAUUCAGGUGGGCUGCGACUUGCCUUUGCAGUGUAGCGUGGUUUUUUCCACAUGCG
rnacentral:lncRNA from 1 species